rnacentral:lncRNA from 1 species
CCUUCCGUCUCGCCGCUGCGGGCCUCAGCCUCAUCCUCGUCGGCCACAGCUCUGACAAGCUCCGCGACGUUGCCGCGUCCGCUUCUGCAGCCCGAAAAGGAAGAGAAAGAGGAAUAGGGCAAAAGUAUCAUUUCAUAAAGUUACUGUUAAAAAAUAAACAGCUCUUUAACGGAGCCUAAUCAGAAGAACAUAUCUGAAUACAUUAGGACAUUUGCAGAAAUAACUUAUAAAAAUUAAACAUUGCAAAAAUAUAUUUAUAAUUAAUUAUAUUCGCGGUGAUCUGUAUGUAAUUAACUCUAUAUUUUAUGACCGGCGUGCAUCGGUACAGCUUGACGGGCACCGUGCGGUAAAUUUUUUGACGCGGACCGUGCCGUUAAAUUUUCAUCUGUGAUCCCAUGGCACUUAAAUAAAAUUCUUGGAUAUUGGUAGGAUUACUCAAGGUAAAGACCUAGCAGGUUCGUGGGUCGAGAAGAGACCAGCGGCAACCUGAAGCAGCAGGAGGCGUUGGAAUCCACCGUCACUUUCAACCCCUGCCGCCGUCACCGCCCGACCGCCGAGGCCUCAUCAGACGUCUUCCCCGUUACAUCCACAUAACAUUCCCAAAGUUAACGUUCCUUCACACAGUUCACUCUUCUUACCUUUUCUCCUCUUUUGAAUGAUGGAGGGACCUUCGAAAAGUGGGUUCCGGGAGAUCGGAAGAAGAGAGCUCGGCUUCUUGCCGCCUCUACUCUUCGCUCGCCGCGUCGGCGGUUCUGAGGUUUAUUCCCUCUCUUUGUUUCCUCUUCCAGUGUUUUGAUCCAUAAAUCCGUUUACAUGUUUGUGAUGCAUUGAUUCCUUGUGUCAAUUUUAUCAUACACUUCAUGUGCAGGUAAACUCAAUUUUGCCCAUCUUUCUUUGUGUGAAUAUCUCUUUCGCUUCAUGUGCAGCUAAGCUCAAUUUUGCCCAUCUUUCUUUGUGUCGAUUUAUCAUACACAUCAUGUG